rnacentral:rRNA from 1 species
CUACGGGAUGCUCCAGCGAAUCAUUUACAAUGCACGAAAGUGUGAUAAUGCGAACCAAAGUGCCAUUCGUUUAGAAUGGCUUUUCUUCAAUGUAAAUAAUUGGAGGAAUAAGGACCGGGAAAGACUGGUGCCAGCCGCCGCGGUAAUACCAGCGGUUCAAGUCGCAUCCGCUUUUAUUAGGUCUAAAACAUCCGUAGCUUGCCGUUUAAGUCUUUUGUGAAAUCCCAUGUCUCAAGUGUGGGGCGUGCAGGAGAUACUGGACGGCUAGAGAUCGGUAGGCGUAAGGAGUACGCGAGGGGUAACGGUUAAAUGUGUUAAUCCUUCGUGGACUAACGAUGAGCGAAGGCACCUUACGAGGACGAGUCUGACAGUCAGGGAUGAAGGCCAGGGGCGCAAAACGGAUUAGAUACCCCCGUAGUC